rnacentral:lncRNA from 1 species
CUGGUGGCUUGCAUAGGAAAAGAAGGAAUGAAUGCGAAGGAAAAUUAAAAGAAUGAAAAAAGGAAAUUUGAGAAGAAGGAAAAAGAUAAUGCAUUAAGUCAGUAUUACAGUGAUUUUUGGGAUUCUUCUCAGCACACACUGUUUUAAAGACAGUACAUCUUGAAAGGACAAGGAGCUGACACAGUUCAUAAUCAAGAUUCUUAACUCUCUUCUCAAGGAAGGAACUUCCAUUUGGGAGAGUUUUGCUGGCCAGAACAGGGCUCUGGCAGACAUGAGAGGGCUGCCUCCAAGGUGCCUUAUGAUCUCCAAAAAGAAAUGGAUCAGCAUGUUUCACCUGGGUGUUAUGGGAAUAAAUGGUGGUAUAGUGAGGAA